CGGAGGAUACAAGCGUUAUCCGGAUUUAUUGGGUUUAAAGGGUGCGUAGGUGGUUUUUAAGUCAGCAGUGAAAGCUUAUAGCUCAACUAUAAAAUGGUUGUUGAUACUGAAAGGCUAGAGUGAUAUUGGAGUAAUUGGAAUGUGUGGUGUAGCGGUGGAAUGCGUAGAUAUCACACAGAACACCAAUCGCGAAGGCAGAUUACUAAGUAUUUACUGACACUGAGGCACGAAAGCAUGGGAGCAAACAGGAUU
rnacentral:rRNA from 1 species